GCGGCCGCACCCUGAAAUUUUCCAUCCCGUGCCGCCGCCGCCCGGGCCCUCGCACUGCACCUGCGCUCGCCCACGUCCUCGGCUCGUCGCCGUGCACCUCCGCUCCCCCUGCACUGCAACACGCGCCGGUUGCCCCGCCGAGCCGCCUCCGUCAUCGACGCGCCGGGCCGCCGCCGCCACAUCGCCGAGCGCCGGAAGCCUGUCGGCCCCUCCUCCCCCACGCCGGCGCGCGCGGUGGAAGACGAAGCAGUUGGAGAAGGACUACGACGCGCUCCGCCGCCAGCUCGAUGCCGCCCGCACCGAGAACGACGCCCUCCUCGCCCACAACAAGAAGCUCCACGCCGAGAAGCUGAACUGAGCAUGAUGAAUCUAUAUAGCCAAACAAUGGAGGAUGAAGAUUGUACCCUUGUUCGUUACUUGAUUGCUGAGGAUAACCCAAAUUAUGAGUUUCUCGAUGAUGACGACGACAUACACACUCUGGUGUCAGCCAUCGAUGCAGAGAGCUCCUACCACGGUUCAAUACAUGUGAGACGACUUGUCCCCAGAGAACAUGUUGAUGGAGAGGCAAGGAUCAUACGCCAAUACUUUGCUGCCAAUCCUAUUUACACCCCCGAAAAGUUUCGUGAAGGUUCAGUCUGUGGACAGCUACUUCCAACAACGCGAGGAUUGUACUGGGCUUUUAGGAUUGAGUACUUUGCAGAAGGUGGUAGCCGCAAUGCGCAUACUGGCGUAUGGUUUGCCGUUAGAUGCCGUUGAUGAGUAUGUGCAAAUUGGCACGUCAACCGCUCGUGAGACUCUUAACCAUUUCUGCAGUGCUGUUAUAGCUGCCUUUGGGGAGGAAUACCUGCGUUCUCCAACCCCUGUCGAUGUGGCUCGUCUACUGCAAGAGGGUGAGAGACAAGGUUUCCCAGGUAUGCUUGGUAGAAUAGAUUGUAUGUACUACGAAUGGCGGAACUGCCCUACUGCUUGGAAGGGCAUGUUCACUGGACGCGGGAAGCACCCAUCCAUGAUCUUGGAGGCUGUAGCAUCUUAUGACCUUUGGAUAUGGCAUGCCUACUUUGGCCUUCCAGGCAGCUGCAAUGAUAUCAAUGUACUGCAGAGGUCGCCUAUUUUCUCAACAUAUAUUUGAGGAGUCACCUCCUGUUCACUUCACUGUCAACGGACGGACAUAUGACAUGGGGUACUACCUUGCAGAUGGUAUAUACCCUGAUUGGCCAGCAUUUGUCAAGAGCGUUUGCCAUACUAUGGAGAGGAAGACACAACGUUUUGCUGCUGUGUAAGAGGGUGCGCGCAAGGAUAUUGAGAGAGCUUUUGGAGUUCUUCAAGCUAGGUGGGCAGUAAUCCGUGGGCCGGCUUAUGGAUGGGACAGGGAGCAGCUUUCUGAUAUUAUGACCGCUUGUAUUAUCAUGCAUAACAUGAUUGUCGAGGAUGAGAAGUCUGAGGCCAUCAAUACCAACUUCGACAACAUUGGCAGACAAGUCAAUCCUUCAGGUGGAAAUGUAGUGGAACGGGAAGCAUUUGUAGCAGCACAUCACAAGUUGCGUGACCAAGCUUGCCAUAUCCAACUUCAGAAGGAUCUCAUCGAGCACAACUGGAUGCAAUAUGGUUCAACCUAGUUUUUUUUUUUGUAAUGUGUUUACUGUAUGAAUGUAAUUAAUUUAUCUGAAUUCUGGAAUGAUUUUCUUAAUGAUUGUUAACUCUGAAAUUUGCUUGUGACAUGCCAUGUAAUCUUGCUGGUAUCUUGUUGACA